GGUUGAAGUUCAGGUAACACUGAAUGGAGGACCGAACCGACUUACGUUGAAAAGUGAGCGGAUGAACUGAGGGUAGCGGAGAAAUUCCAAUCGAACCUGGAGAUAGCUGGUUCUCUCCGAAAUAGCUUUAGGGCUAGCCUCAAGUGAUGAUUAUUGGAGGUAGAGCACUGUUUGGACGAGGGGCCCCUCUCGGGUUACCGAAUUCAGACAAACUCCGAAUGCCAAUUAAUUUAACUUGGGAGUCAGAACAUGGGUGAUAAGGUCCGUGUUCGAAAGGGAAACAGCCCAGACCACCAGCUAAGGUCCCAAAAUAUAUGUUAAGUGGAAAAGGAUGUGGCGUUGCCCAGACAACUAGGAUGUUGGCUUAGAAGCAGCCAUCAUUUAAAGAGUGCGUAAUAGCUCACUAGUCGAGUGACACUGCGCCGAAAAUGUACCGGGGCUAAACAUAUUACCGAAGCUGUGGAUUGUCCUUUGGACAAUGGUAGGAGAGCGUUCUAAGGGCGUUGAAGCAUGAUCGUAAGGACAUGUGGAGCGCUUAGAAGUGAGAAUGCCGGUGUGAGUAGCGAAAGACGGGUGAGAAUCCCGUCCACCGAUUGACUAAGGUUUCCAGAGGAAGGCUCGUCCGCUCUGGGUUAGUCGGGUCCUAAGCUGAGGCCGACAGGCGUAGGCGAUGGAUAACAGGUUGAUAUUCCUGUACCACCUAUAAUCGUUUUAAUCGAUGGGGGGACGCAGUAGGAUAGGCGAAGCGUGCGAUUGGAUUGCACGUCUAAGCAGUAAGGCUGAGUAUUAGGCAAAUCCGGUACUCGUUAAGGCUGAGCUGUGAUGGGG
rnacentral:rRNA from 1 species